ensembl:ncRNA K09F5.13 ncRNA
AAAGUCAGUCGCUAAUGUGAAAAAGUUAAAAAUGUUUAGCAGCGGCAAGUAGUACGUACUUGCCUUCUUUUCUUGAAAGCGAAGUUUAUGAAUAAUUCGGAAGGCUCUCACAUUUCUUGUUCGGUUUUUUCUAGUUGCGUCU